rnacentral:rRNA from 1 species
GAUGAACGCUGGCGGCGUGCCUAAUACAUGCAAGUCGAGCGAACGGACGAGAAGCUUGCUUCUCUGAUGUUAGCGGCGGACGGGUGAGUAACACGUGGAUAACCUACCUAUAAGACUGGGAUAACUUCGGGAAACCGGAGCUAAUACCGGAUGAUAUUUUGAACCGCAUGGUUCAAAAGUGAAAGACGGUCUUGCUGUCACUUAUAGAUGGAUCCGCGCUGCAUUAGCUAGUUGGUAAGGUAACGGCUUACCAAGGCAACGAUGCAUAGCCGACCUGAGAGGGUGAUCGGCCACACUGGAACUGAGACACGGUCCAGACUCCUACGGGAGGCAGCAGUAGGGAAUCUUCCGCAAAGGGCGAAAGCCUGACGGAGCAACGCCGCGUGAGUGAUGAAGGUCUUCGGAUCGUAAAACUCUGUUAUUAGGGAAGAACAUAUGUGUAAGUAACUGUGCACAUCUCGACGGUACCUAAUCAGAAAGCCACGGCUAACUACGUG